rnacentral:tRNA from 1 species
CGGAGAUGGAGGGUUCGAAAAACCUGGAGGGUUCGAAAAACCUUUGAUUGAGUGCUCUUGUGCGUGAUUUCAGGUUCCUUAUCCUGAUUUUCGC